UACGAAGGGGGCUAGCGUUGUUCGGAAUUACUGGGCGUAAAGCGUGCGCAGGCGGCUUCUCAAGUCAGGGGUGAAAGCCCCGGGCUCAACCUGGGAAUUGCAUUCGAGACUGCUCUGCUAGGGUGCGGAAGAGGGAAGCGGAAUUUCCGGUGUAGCGGUGAAAUGCGUAGAUAUCGGAAGGAACACCAGUGGCGAAAGCGGCUUCCUGGUCCAGCACCGACGUUCAGGCACGAAAGCGUGGGGAGCAAACAGG
rnacentral:rRNA from 1 species